UACGUAGGGUGCAAGCGUUGUCCGGAAUUAUUGGGCGUAAAGAGCUCGUAGGCAGUCUGUCGCGUCUGCUGUGAAAACUCGGGGCUUAACCCCGGGCCUGCAGUGGGUACGGGCAGACUAGAGUGCGGUAGGGGAGACUGGAAUUCCUGGUGUAGCGGUGAAAUGCGCAGAUAUCAGGAGGAACACCGGUGGCGAAGGCGGGUCUCUGGGCCGUAACUGACGCUGAGGAGCGAAAGCGUGGGGAGCGAACAGG
rnacentral:rRNA from 1 species